ensembl:lncRNA
GUGAUUUUGAGUGAAAACCUAACUUUUGAUUGCGGGUUCCUCCUCCAUAAAACAAGGGUAUUAAGAAUACCUACUGCAGCAGAAUGUUGUAAGUAGAUAUUUAUAAAACAUUUAUAACAGUUUCCAGCACAUAGUAAAUGUUCAGUUAAGGCCAACUGUUGUUGGCAACAUUACCAGGGCUGUGACCAUCAGCGGAAUUCAUAUUCUCUUUACUUACUUAGAAUAAAACUUAGAAAUGGGAGGAAGUAGUUAAAUGGUAAACAUUUAAAAUCCUGGUAAAAAUCAUCCAAUUUCCCUCCAGAAAUAUCCCCACCGUCAUGGAGGACCUGGGGUUGGUAGGAGGCUCUGAAUGUGUACAGCCACUGCUCCUGGCCCAGAGCACUGUCACCCUCCAAGUCACGGCGAACCAGCCAGUGAGGUCUCCCGCCUCGCCCAACCUUCUGGGUGGCAUUCUGGAACGCCGGGCAGGAGGAAAAUCAACAGCAAGUCAGGAAUCAGCAGAACAUUUGCCUUGCUUGCCCUUCAGGGGUAAAGUCUGUAUACAAGUUUGCAGUGCUUUGUGCUCUCUCAAGAAAAGCCACACUGCAUUGCUUUUCCUUUUCUUCUCUUCACAUUUUCUACGAUCUAGUUUUCACAACUUCAGCUUCCAUUUAGAACCUGGAAGAAAUUCUGUUAUUUUAAGGGACUCCUUAACCAAGAAGAAUGAAAUGAUGUGCCAUGUUCCUCUCUCUGGUCCUGGGGGCCCACCCAACACUCCAGCACUGUGGUGGGUCACUCCAAAGCAGAACUGUGUAGGCCUGAGGUAUAUGCAUACCAGGUGCUGUCCCGGCCCUGCCCUGGUCACUUGGACCACGUGUCUUCAACAUGGGCAAUAGCGCUCCCAACUGGAGAAAAAUGGUACCCCAGAUACCUUCCAACUACUAAGAUGUGUGUUUCUGUCCUCAAAGGCUUUCCUGCUAUUCCUCAGCAUCUGUCAACCAUCAGCUGACUGGGAUUGGUAUAUAAAUGCCCCACUCCUUCGCCCCUCUGUGCAUUGGUGAUUCUGAGCUAUGUGUUCAUCAAUGGGGAUAAGAGCCCAUUAUGUUGCUGCUUAAGAACAUACCAUUUAUCUGCUGCCUCUUUCCUG